rnacentral:rRNA from 1 species
UACGAAGGGGGGCUAGCGUUGCUCGGAAUCACUAGGGCGUAAAGGGUGCGUAGGCGGGUUUUUAAGUCAGGGGUGAAAUCCUGGAGCUCAACUCCAGAACUGCCUUUGAUACUGAAGAUCUUGAGUCCGGGAGAGGUGAGUGGAACUGCGAGUGUAGAGGUGAAAUUCGUAGAUAUUCGCAAGAACACCAGUGGCGAAGGCGACUUCCUGGCCUGUUCUUGACGCUGAGGCGCGAAAGCUAGGGUAGCAAACGGG